GUUCCUGUAGCACAAUGGAUAGCGCGUUGGACUUUUAAUCCAAUGGCCGUGAGUUCGAAUCCCACUUGGAAUG